UCACUUGUCACUGUGACUUAUCGCUUAUCUCACUAGGCUAAGUGAUUUAUCUGGGUAUCACUUCUUUCUGCAUCUGGCCUUUGUCAAUAGCAGUGAACAAAGAGAAGAAAAGGAAGCAGGAUUCUUCUUGGAGAUGUUGCAGAAGAAGAAGAAGAAGAAGAAGAAGAAGAAGAAGAAGAAAACGAAAAGGUGGCAGAAGAAAGAAAAAGUGGAAGAAAGAAAUAAAAAAGAAACACUUGAAGCAUUUUUAGGGUUGUAAAUCACAGGUUCUUGGAAGGCUGAGGCAAGUAGAUCACAAGUUUUAGACUCACUUAACCUACUGUCUAAAAAAAAG
ensembl:processed_transcript Platr32 pluripotency associated transcript 32